UAGAUCCUAUGACUAUCAUUAGAUCGAGCCAUGAUGCAGUUCAGUUUGACCAUUCACCAGUCGAUCCGUGACACUGCUAGGUUCCGCCAUUCACCAGUCGAUCCGUGACGCUGCUAGGUUCCGCCAUUCACCAGUCGAUCCCUGACGCUUCUAGGUUCCGCCAUUCACCAGUCGAUCCCUGACGCUUCUAGGUUCCGCCAUUCACCAGUCGCUCCCUGACGCUUCUAGGUUCCGCCAUUCACCAGUCGCUCCCUGACGCUUCUAGGUUCCGCCAUUCACCAGUCGAUCCGUGACACUGCUAGGUUCCGCCAUUCACCAGUCGAUCCGUGACACUGCUAGGUUCCGCCAUUC